rnacentral:rRNA from 1 species
AUGAAGAAUCGAAAAACCGCAGAUUUUAUCAUUGGCGUGACAGAGUUCAUGAAUUUGGUCGAAAGUACAAAGAGGAGAAUUGGUGAUGCGGAUUACAUCCUAUGUCGAUGUACUGAUUGUGCCAAUACAGAGUCACCUGAAGUUGCAGAUGUCCAUAUGCACUUAGUAUCUAGGGGAUGCAUGGAUGGAUAUACACGUUGGACCAGACACGGUGAAGAGGAGGUCAUGGAUGAAGAUACCCAGGGCAGCGAGAUGCCAAACCACGAUCAGUGUCACAUGGAUGUUGAAUCUAACAUUGGGACAGAGGCAUCAAGCUACCAAUGUAACACCGGAAAGCCGAAACGCCCACUGGAAAACCAAGACGUCCACGCAGAUGACGACGAUCUUGAUAUGCCAGAUUUUGCUGCUAUGAUUGCAGAUUUCGAGGGCCUGGAAAAGGAUAUGAUUGGGUACAAGGAUCUACCAACCAUUGAUGCGGACUCCAAGAAAGAAUUGUAUCCAGGUGGCAAAAAGAAAUAUUCUAGGUUGAGUGCCACCCUGGCGCUUCUCAGAUUUAAAGCAGCAAACGGUCUAUCAAACAAGGGCUUCAAAGAGAUGUUAGGUCUUUUGAAAGAAAUUCUCCCGGAAGAAAAUGUGCUCCCCAGUAGCACGAAUGAAGCGAAGAAAAUUGUUUGCCCAUUGGAACUUGAAGUACAGAAGAUACAAGCUUGUGUGAAUGAAUGUAUAUUGUACCGUGAGAUAGCACACUCAAUCGAUCUCACUACACCGUGUGCCGACCAAACCCCGCCACCCCGCCCACGAUCUGAGUCGUGCUUUCUGAUUGGCCAGAACCCAAACCCCGUGGAUCGUACGUCUGCGCCGUUGGAUGUUCCCAGAUCGGACGGCGAUCCUCAUCCCUUUCGACAGCACAUGCAGUUCCAGUUGUAA